rnacentral:lncRNA from 1 species
UGCGUCCUAUAUUUUUAUUUGCUAAAGAUAGCACCCCUAGCCACUUGAUCACCCACCACUUAUAAUAGUAAUGACUUACAUUUGUGAACACUUAAGCGACCAUUACAUCAGCUGCGUGCUGCCCUUUGCAGUCAAGGUCACGUCCACUAGCUGGUACAUCCCUCCUUUGAAGAGGUGGCACAUGACAUUGUGGCGAGGGGACGUGCAGGCACUGCUGAGCCUCCUCAGCUCACUGAGGAGGCCCGGGGGGGCACCGGGCUCACUGGGAGUGGAUGGGAGCCCUUAGUCAGCAAUAUCAUUAUUAUUACCUGCCUUUAACAAGCAAAAAAACUGAAGUGCAUUCGUUUAACAAACGUAUAGUAAGCCUGGCGCUUUUCAAGGCCUGAGAGGAGAGGUUAACUGAUGUGCACAGUCCCCCGGCUGGUGGAUGAUGGCCAGCUGAACUCUGCAAUCCUAGGGGGAGGCGGUCAAAUGAUUCUCCACCCUCUCUGUCAUGCCAAUGCUGGAGAAUCCCCAGCAAUACAUUGCAGGUGUGUCUGAAUCUUCUGUGUAUGUGUUCGUCUCCCUCCCCAGCCGGCUCCACUCUCACCUCACUCCAGGCUGGGAAUGCCAGUGGCUAGAGACAGUCUUAUUAACCUUAGGAUUCCACUGAGGAGCUCAGAGUGGGUGCCCAGUAAUUACAGGGAGUUAUUGACGGGGGUCCCCUCUUUACUAAGCCACUGCUUCCUUGGGACCAGGGGCAUGACACUGGUUACAUACUUCCCACGGCCCUGCUCUUCUUCCUUCAGGUCACAAAUUCCGAGGGCCUCUGGAAGGAGUCAAGAAAGGAAGGGCAGACACUUGGGUGGGACAGAAGAGGAGAGGUUGAAGACAGGAUUAAGGCGGUAAAAUACAAAACACAUACUUACACAAAUAACAUUGUUUUGGCAUCAGCAGUGCUGGCAUUUACUGUGAUGGGUGGGUCCCUAAAAUUAAAGUUGAUUGGGGAAGGGGUCAGGGCAGGGACAGGUUCAGAGUCAAGAUACUCAGGGCAGUGCUGAAUGAGUCUUAGAACACUAGCACGUAGGAGCAGCAUUCCACAGCUGGCCCCUGCCCCUCACCCCACCCCAGCCCUUGGCCACUCCGCUCCAGCCACGCUGGCCACCCUGCCUGCGUGCUCCCUGUCAGGGCCUUUGCUCUUGCUGUUGACUGCUUGGAAUGCUCUUCCCCCAAAUGUCACUCAGUUGGCUCCCUUGCUUUUUCCAGUCCCCUUCUCAACAAGGCCAGCCCUGCCCAUCCUGCUGAGUCCUGGAACUGCCACAUCCCUGCCCUCCUCACCACCUUGCCUAGCACCGCUUUCCCCUGUCCACAGUAUCUCUAACUUCUAGAACUUUUUGUUAUUUUGCUCACUGAUGUAUCCUAACAUUGCAGAAUGGCACCUGGCAUGGUGUGUGCUCCGUAAACAUGUGUUGUGUUGAAUUUGUUGAACUGAAUCUGGAAGGACCUUGAUCAUCUAGUUAUUUCUAACCAGGUGUGCUUUCCGAGUUUCCGGUGGAACUUGUCAAAACACCCCAACCAGAGUCCCUACCCCAGACCUCCCGAGUCAGCUUGAGGAGCUCCCCAAGGUUUCAUAUAUUAAAAAUCCCUUCUCUGGUGCAGUCUCCUCUCUUAGCAACUGGCUUGCCAAGGCUCCCAGAGGGCCCGCUCCGUCCAAGGUCACUGCAUAGUUGGGGGCUGAGCCAGCAAUCCCACAGUUCUCUCCACUUGGAGCCCAUUCCAGCUCUUCAGGCGGAUUGGACAGCACCUCCUAGGCCAGUCUGGGGGACCCUCAGUCCAGAACACUCAUUAUCAGAGAGAGUGCCUGGCACUGUUGUUCUCUGUUUAGUUUCCUCCCAGCCCAGUGCCUAGCACAUAGCUGGAGCUCCAUGAUUUGCUUUUAUUGUUUUCUGUCUUAUUCUUGGUGAGCAGAUAUGCCUGGGCCUCGGUCCAGUUGAUCUUCAUCUCACGUUCUCCAGUGAGCUGAGCAGGCACAGGGCUGGAGAAGUGAGGAACGGAAGGAUGCCCCUGCCUCUCUCACUAUGACCUGAGUUUCGAAGCAAUGUCCUGUGACAGCGAGAGAACUGGCUUGGGGCCAGUUGUCUAUUGCUGUGUGGUCUGAGCCGGUCUCAUAACCAUUCUGUUUCCCAGCCUGUAAAAUGUGGCUGGCACCCGGGGUGGACAUGAGGAUCCCACCUGCCAAGGUAUUGCUGGAGGCUCACCAUACAAACCCAAGGUUGCACUCUUGUUCAAUGCCUCCUGUGGCACCCCCCUACCCAAGGACAAAGUUCAUUUCCUUGGCCUGGAACCUGAAGUUCUUCCACCUUGGCCCCAGUCCCCAGCCCCUUGCCUCAUCUGCUGGCACUCCUCUCUACACACCCUUCACUCUGGCCACCCUCAGUUUCCUCAUCUGCAAAAUGGAGAAGAUAACAAGACCAUCCUUCAGGGUGUUGUAAGGAUGAACUGAGAUCAUGUGGGACCUGGCCCCUUCCUGGCACACACGAGGUGUAAAUGAUGACUGUUAGUACUAUCCUUAGUGUUCCUAUCAAUACCUCACUCUGCCCAACUGC